UGGAGAUAGCUCUUUAAACACAACACAGAAGAGGGAGGAGGAGGAGGAGUAGACGAGUGGUCGCGGCGGCUGACCGGCGGUGGUGUGGUGGUUGUCUGUGGAUUGGAUCGCAAUUUGCUUUGUUGGGGGAGAAGAAGAGAACGCGUUUCUCUGUUCUCACUUGAUGAAAAAGAAAAUUGAUGACCAAAUGAAAAUUGGAUUGGAAAAUAUUAGUUUUAAUGAAGGGCAUAAUAGUAAUUUCCAUAAAAGGAUGGGGUGGCGGUGGCUCCUCCUUGCCACCCCCCAGUUCCGCC
rnacentral:lncRNA from 1 species